GACGAACGCUGGCGGCGUGCUUAACACAUGCAAGUCGAACGAAGUGGCGAGCGGGUGAGUAACGCGUAAUCAACCUGCCCUUCAGAGGGUGACAACUGGUGACAACGACUGCUAAUACCGCAUACUGAAGGUGGGGAUUGCGUCUGAUUGGCUAGUUGGCGGGGUAACGGCCCACAAAGGCGAUGAUCAGUAGCCGGGCUGAGAGGAUGAACGGCCACAACGGGACUGAGACACGGCCCAGACUCCUACGGGAGGCAGCAGGGGGGAAGUUUCCGCAAUGGACGAAAGUCCGACGGAGCAACGCCGCGGGAGUGAUGACGGCCUUCGGGUUGUAAAGCUCUGUUAAUCGGGACGCGGUACCGGAAUAGAAAGCCACGGCUAACUACGUGCCAGCAGCCGCGGUAAUAC
rnacentral:rRNA from 1 species